rnacentral:rRNA from 1 species
UUUAUAGCUUGCUAUAAAGAAUAGUUAGUGGCAGACGGGUGAGUAAUGCAUAGGAAUCUACCUAGUAGUAUGGGAUAGCCACUAGAAAUGGUGGGUAAUACUGUAUAAUCCCUGCGGGGGAAAGAUUUAUCGCUAUUAGAUGAGCCUAUGUUAGAUUAGCUAGUUGGUAGGGUAAAGGCCUACCAAGGCGAUGAUCUAUAGCUGGUCUGAGAGGAUGAUCAGCCACACUGGAACUGAGAUACGGUCCAGACUCCUACGGGAGGCAGCAGUGGGGAAUAUUGGACAAUGGGCGCAAGCCUGAUCCAGCUAUGCCGCGUGAGUGAGGAAGGCCUUAGGGUUGUAAAACUCUUUCAGUAGGGAAGAUAAUGACGGUACCUACAGAAGAAGUCCCGGCAAACUCCGCGCCAGCAGCCGCGGUAAUACGGAGGGGGCAAGCGUUGUUCGGAAUUAUUGGGCGUAAAGGGCAUGUAGGCGGUUCGGUAAGUUAAAGGUGAAAUGCCAGGGCUUAACCCUGGAGCUGCUUUAAAUACUGCC